AUUGAACGCUGGCGGCAUGCCUUACACAUGCAAGUCGAACGGUAACAGGUCUUCGGAUGCUGACGAGUGGCGAACGGGUGAGUAAUACAUCGGAACGUGCCCGAUCGUGGGGGAUAACUGCUCGAAAGAGCAGCUAAUACCGCAUACGAUCUACGGAUGAAAGCGGGGGAUCGCAAGACCUCGCGCGGACGGAGCGGCCGAUGGCAGAUUAGGUAGUUGGUGGGAUAAAAGCUUACCAAGCCGACGAUCUGUAGCUGGUCUGAGAGGACGACCAGCCACACUGGGACUGAGACACGGCCCAGACUCCUACGGGAGGCAGCAGUGGGGAAUUUUGGACAAUGGGCGCAAGCCUGAUCCAGCCAUGCCGCGUGCAGGAUGAAGGCCUUCGGGUUGUAAACUGCUUUUGUACGGAACGAAAAGACUCCUUCUAAUAAAGGGGGUCCAUGACGGUACCGUAAGAAUAAGCACCGGCUAACUACGUG
rnacentral:rRNA from 1 species